rnacentral:rRNA from 1 species
GAUGAACGCUGGCGGCGUGCCUAAUACAUGCAAGUCGAGCGAACGGACGAGAAGCUUGCUUUUCUGAUGUUAGCGGCGGACGGGUGAGUAACACGUGGAUAACCUACCUAUAAGACUGGGAUAACUUCGGGAAACCGGAGCUAAUACCGGAUAAUAUUUUGAACCGCAUGGUUCAAAAGUGAAAGACGGUCUUGCUGUCACUUAUAGAUGGAUCCGCGCUGCAUUAGCUAGUUGGUAAGGUAACGGCUUACCAAGGCAACGAUGCAUAGCCGACCUGAGAGGGUGAUCGGCCAAACUGGAACUGAGACACGGUCCAGACUCCUACGGGAGGCAGCAGUAGGGAAUCUUCCGCAAUGGGCUAAAGCCUGACGGAGCAACGCCGCGUGAGUGAUGAAGGUCUUCGGAUCGUAAAACUCUGUUAUUAGGGAAGAACAUAUGUGUAAGUAACUGUGCACAUCUUGACGGUACCUAAUCAGAAAGCCACGGCUAACUACGUG